UGGCUCAGAUGGUAAAAGCGUCUGCCUACAAUGCAGGAGACCCAGGUUCAAUCCCUGG
rnacentral:tRNA from 1 species